UACGUAGGGUGCGAGCGUUGUCCGGAAUUAUUGGGCGUAAAGAGCUCGUAGGCGGUGUGUCGCGUCGGCCGUGAAAACCUGCAGCUUAACUGUGGGCGUGCGGUCGAUACGGGCAUCACUGGAGUUCGGCAGGGGAGACUGGAAUUCCUGGUAUAGCGGUGAAAUGCGCAGAUAUCAGGAGGAACACCGGUGGCGAAGGCGGUUCUCUGGGCAUUACCUGACGCUGAGGAGCGAAAGUGUGGGGAGCGAACAGG
rnacentral:rRNA from 1 species